rnacentral:rRNA from 1 species
AUUGAACGCUGGCGGCAGGCUUAACACAUGCAAGUCGAGCGGAGCGAGGGUGCUUGCACCUUAGCUUAGCGGCGGACGGGUGAGUAAUGCUUAGGAAUCUGCCUAUUAGUGGGGGACAACAUUCCGAAAGGGAUGCUAAUACCGCAUACGCCCUACGGGGGAAAGCAGGGGAUCUUCGGACCUUGCGCUAAUAGAUGAGCCUAAGUCGGAUUAGCUAGUUGGUGGGGUAAAGGCCUACCAAGGCGACGAUCUGUAGCGGGUCUGAGAGGAUGAGCCGCCACACUGGGACUGAGAAACGGCCCAGACUCCUACGGGAGGCAGCAGUGGGGAAUAUUGGACAAUGGGCGGAAGCCUGAUCCAGCCAUGCCGCGUGUGUGAAGAAGGCCUUUUGGUUGUAAAGCACUUUAAGCGAGGAGGAGGCUACCAGUAUUAAUACUACUGGAUAGUGGACGUUACUCGCAGAAUAAGCACCGGCUAACUCUGUGCCAGCCGCCGCAGUAA